UACGAAGGGGGCUAGCGUUGCUCGGAAUGACUGGGCGUAAAGGGUGCGUAGGUGGUUGUCACAGUCAGGUGUGAAAGCCUUGAGCUCAACUCAAGAAAUGCACUUGAUACUAGGCGACUAGAGGACCGGAGAGGAUAGUGGAAUUCCCAGUGUAGUGGUGAAAUACGUAGAGAUUGGGAAGAACACCAGUGGCGAAAGCGGCUUCCUGGUCCAGCACCGACGUUCAGGCACGAAAGCGUGGGGAGCAAACAGG
rnacentral:rRNA from 1 species